rnacentral:rRNA from 1 species
ACGGGUGAGUAAUGUCUGGGAAACUGCCUGAUGGAGGGGGAUAACUACUGGAAACGGUAGCUAAUACCGCAUAACGUCGCAAGACCAAAGAGGGGGACCUUCGGGCCUCUUGCCAUCAGAUGUGCCCAGAUGGGAUUAGCUAGUAGGUGGGGUAACGGCUCACCUAGGCGACGAUCCCUAGCUGGUCUGAGAGGAUGACCAGCCACACUGGAACUGAGACACGGUCCAGACUCCUACGGGAGGCAGCAGUGGGGAAUAUUGCACAAUGGGCGCAAGCCUGAUGCAGCCAUGCCGCGUGUAUGAAGAAGGCCUUCGGGUUGUAAAGUACUUUCAGCGGGGAGGAAGGUGUUGAGGUUAAUAACCUCAGCAAUUGACGUUACCCGCAGAAGAAGCACCGGCUAACUCCGUGCCAGCAGCCGCGGUAAUACGGAGGGUGCAAGCGUUAAUCGGAAUUACUGGGCGUAAAGCGCACGCAGGCGGUCUGUCAAGUCGGAUGUGAAAUCCCCGGGCUCAACCUGGGAACUGCAUUCGAAACUGGCAGGCUAGAGUCUUGUAGAGGGGGGUAGAAUUCCAGGUGUAGC